rnacentral:rRNA from 1 species
GACGAACGCUGGCGGCGUGCCUAAUACAUGCAAGUCGAACGCUUCUUUCCUCCCGAGUGCUUGCACUCAAUUGGAAAGAGGAGUGGCGGACGGGUGAGUAACACGUGGGUAACCUACCCAUCAGAGGGGGAUAACACUUGGAAACAGGUGCUAAUACCGCAUAACAGUUUAUGCCGCAUGGCAUAAGAGUGAAAGGCGCUUUCGGGUGUCGUUGAUGGAUGGACCCGCGGUGCAUUAGCUAGUUGGUGAGGUAACGGCUCACCAAGGCCAGGAUGCAUAGCCGACCUGAGAGGGUGAUCGGCCACACUGGGACUGAGACACGGCCCAGACUCCUACGGGAGGCAGCAGUAGGGAAUCUUCGGCAAUGGACGAAAGUCUGACCGAGCAAACGCCGCGUGAGUGAAGAAGGUUUUCGGAUCGUAAAACUCUGUUGUUAGAGAAGAACAAGGACGUUAGUAACUGAACGUCCCCUGACGGUAUCUAACCAGAAAGCCACGGCUAACUACGUG